AAACCCGGUGAUCUAGCCAUGGGCAGGUUGAAGGUUGGGUAACACUAACUGGAGGACCGAACCGACUAAUGUUGAAAAAUUAGCGGAUGACUUGUGGCUGGGGGUGAAAGGCCAAUCAAACCGGGAGAUAGCUGGUUCUCCCCGAAAGCUAUUUAGGUAGCGCCUCGUGAACUCAUCUUCGGGGGUAGAGCACUGUUUCGGCUAGGGGGCCAUCCCGGCUUACCAAACCGAUGCAAACUCCGAAUACCGAAGAAUGUUAUCACGGGAGACACACGGCGGGUGCUAACGUCCGUCGUGAAGAGGGAAACAACCCAGACCGCCAGCUAAGGUCCCAAAGUCAUGGUUAAGUGGGAAACGAUGUGGGAAGGCACAGACAGCCAGGAUGUUGGCUUAGAAGCAGCCAUCAUUUAAAGAAAGCGUAAUAGCUCACUGGUCGAGUCGGCCUGCGCGGAAGAUGUAACGGGGCUAAACCAUGCACCGAAGCUGCGGCAGCGACGCUUAGGCGUUGUUGGGUAGGGGAGCGUUCUGUAAGCCGUUGAAGGUGGCCUGUGAGGGUUGCUGGAGGUAUCAGAAGUGCGAAUGCUGACAUAAGUAACGAUAAAGCGGGUGAAAAGCCCGCUCGCCGGAAGACCAAGGGUUCCUGUCCAACGUUAAUCGGGGCAGGGUGAGUCGACCCCUAAGGCGAGGCUGAAAAGCGUAGUCGAUGGGAAACAGGUUAAUAUUCCUGUACUUGGUGUUACUGCGAAGGGGGGACGGAGAAGGCUAGGCUAGCCGGGCGACGGUUGUCCCGGUUUAAGCGUGUAGGGGGUGUGACCUGGUAAAUCCGGUUGCAUAUUAACCCUGAGGCGUGAUGACGAUGCACUACGGUGCAGAAGUAGUUGAUGCCCUGCUUCCAGGAAAAUCCUCUAAGCUCCAGGUAACAUUAAAUCGUACCCCAAACCGACACAGGUGGUCAGGUAGAGAAUACCAAGGCGCUUGAGAGAACUCGGGUGAAGGAACUAGGCAAAAUGGUGCCGUAACUUCGGGAGAAGGCACGCUGGCAUGUAGGUGAAGUCCCUCGCGGAUGGAGCCGAAGCCAGUCGAAGAUACCAGCUGGCUGCAACUGUUUAAUAAAAACACAGCACUGUGCAAACACGAAAGUGGACGUAUACGGUGUGACGCCUGCCCGGU
rnacentral:rRNA from 1 species